rnacentral:tRNA from 1 species
GGUAGUGGCUCAGUGGUAGAGCACUUGCCUAGCAUGUGUGAGGCACUGGGUUUGAUUCUCAGCAUUG